GCAUUUUUAGUAGAUAGAAAUUCCCUUCGGGGCGUUUCUGCAAGGUGCUGCAUGGUUGUCGUCAGCUCGUGCCGUGAGGUGUCGGGUUAAGUCCCAUAACGAGCGCAACCCUUAUCGUUAGUUGCCAGCUGGUAAAGCAGGGGACUCUAGCGAAACUGCCACCGUAAGGUGAGAGGAAGGUGGGGAUGACGUCAAAUCAGCACGGCCCUUAUGUCCAGGGCUACACACGUGUUACAAUGGCCGGCACAGAGGGCAGCUACCUGGUGACAGGAUGCUAAUCUCGAAAACCGGUCUCAGUUCGGAUCGAAGUCUGCAACUCGACUUCGUGAAGCUGGAUUCGCUAGUAAUCGCGCAUCAGCCAUGGCGCGGUCGAAUACGUUCCCGGGCCUU
rnacentral:rRNA from 1 species